AGUGAACGCUGGCGGUAGGCCUAACACAUGCAAGUCGAACGGCAGCACAGUAAGAGCUUGCUCUUACGGGUGGCGAGUGGCGGACGGGUGAGGAAUACAUCGGAAUCUACUUUUUCGUGGGGGAUAACGUAGGGAAACUUACGCUAAUACCGCAUACGACCUACGGGUGAAAGCAGGGGAUCUUCGGACCUUGCGCGAUUGAAUGAGCCGAUGUCGGAUUAGCUAGUUGGCGGGGUAAAGGCCCACCAAGGCGACGAUCCGUAGCUGGUCUGAGAGGAUGAUCAGCCACACUGGAACUGAGACACGGUCCAGACUCCUACGGGAGGCAGCAGUGGGGAAUAUUGGACAAUGGGCGAAAGCCUGAUCCAGCCAUACCGCGUGGGUGCAGAAGGACUUCGGGUUGUAAAGCCCUUUUGUUGGGAAAGAAAAGCAGCAGGUUAAUACCCCGCUGUUAUGACGGUACCCAAAGAAUAAGCACCGGCUAACUUCGUG
rnacentral:rRNA from 1 species